rnacentral:rRNA from 1 species
CAGUAGCCACGGGAAUACGUAGGGUGCAAGCGUUGUCCGGAAUCAUUGGGCGUAAAGCGCGCGUAGGUGGCCAUUUAAGUCCGCUGUGAAAGUCAAAGGCUCAACCUUUGAAAGCCGGUGGAUACUGGAUGGCUAGAGUACGGAAGAGGCGAGUGGAAUUCCUGGUGUAGCGGUGGAAUGCGCAGAUAUCAGGAGGAACACCAAUAGCGAAGGCAGCUCGCUGGGACGUUACUGACACUGAGGCGCGAAAGCGUGGGGAGCGAACGGGAUUAGAUACCCCAGUAGUCCCUGUCUCUUAUAC